AUUGAACGCUGGCGGCAGGCCUAACACAUGCAAGUCGAACGGUAACAGGAAGAAGCUUGCUUCUUUGCUGACGAGUGGCGGACGGGUGAGUAAUGUCUGGGAAACUGCCUGAUGGAGGGGGAUAACUACUGGAAACGGUAGCUAAUACCGCAUAACGUCGCAAGACCAAAGAGGGGGACCUUCGGGCCUCUUGCCAUCGGAUGUGCCCAGAUGGGAUUAGCUAGUAGGUGGGGUAACGGCUCACCUAGGCGACGAUCCCUUGCUGGUCUGAGAGGAUGACCAGCCACACUGGAACUGAGACACGGUCCAGACUCCUACGGGAGGCAGCAGUGGGGAAUAUUGCACAAUGGGCGCAAGCCUGAUGCAGCCAUGCCGCGUGUAUGAAGAAGGCCUUCGGGUUGUAAAGUACUUUCAGCGGGGAGGAAGGGAGUAAAGUUAAUACCUUUACUCAUUGACGUUACCCGCAGAAGAAGCACCGGCUAACUCCGUG
rnacentral:rRNA from 1 species